ACAAUUGGAGGGCAAGUCUGGUGCCAGCAGCCGCGGUAAUUCCAGCUCCAAUAGCGUAUAUUAAAGUUGUUGCAGUUAAAAAGCUCGUAGUUGAAUUUCGGGACUGACAGGUUGGUCGCGCCUUUGGUGUGUACUGGCCUAGUCGGUUUCUCCCUUCUGACGAACCACGAUGUCAUUAAUUUGGUGUCGUGGGGAAUCAGGACUGUUAUUUUGAAAAAAUUAGAGUGUUUAAAGCAGGCUUAGGCUUGAAUACAUUAGCAUGGAAUAAUGAAAUAGGACGUUUGAUCCUAUUUUGUUGGUUUCUAGGAUCACCGUAAUGAUUAAUAGGGAUUGUUGGGGGCAUUAGUAUUCAAUUGUCAGAGGUGAAAUUCUUGGAUUUAUUGAAGACUAACUACUGCGAAAGCAUUUGCCAAGGAUGUUUUCAUUAAUCAAGAACGAAAGUUAGGGGAU
rnacentral:rRNA from 1 species